rnacentral:rRNA from 1 species
AAGCAUUUAAGACAGAUUACUUCGGUUUGAAGUCUUUUAUGACUGAGUGGCGGACGGGUGAGUAACGCGUGGGUAACCUGCCUCAUACAGGGGGAUAGCAGCUGGAAACGGCUGGUAAUACCGCAUAAGCGCACAGUACCACAUGGUACAGUGUGAAAAACUCCGGUGGUAUGAGAUGGACCCGCGUCUGAUUAGCUUGUUGGCGGGGUAACGGCCCACCAAGGCGACGAUCAGUAGCCGACCUGAGAGGGUGACCGGCCACAUUGGGACUGAGACACGGCCCAGACUCCUACGGGAGGCAGCAGUGGGGAAUAUUGCACAAUGGAGGAAACUCUGAUGCAGCGACGCCGCGUGAGUGAAGAAGUAGUUCGCUAUGUAAAGCUCUAUCAGCAGGGAAGAUAGUGACGGUACCUGACUAAGAAGCUCCGGCUAAAUACGUGCCAGCAGCCGCGGUAAUACGUAUGGAGCAAGCGUUAUCCGGAUUUACUGGGUGUAAAGGGAGUGUAGGUGGCCAGGCAAGUCAGAAGUGAAAGCCCGGGGCUCAACCCCGGGACUGCUUUUGAAACUGCAGGGCUAGAGUGCAGGAGGGGCAAGUGGAAUUCCUAGUGUAGCGGUGAAAUGCGUAGAUAUUAGGAGGAACACCAGUGGCGAAGGCGGCUUGCUGGACUGUAACUGACACUGAGGCUCGAAAGCGUGNGGAGCAAACAGGAUUAGAUACCCUGGUANUCCACG